GCGAGAAUGGUAUAUAAACUCAGGGCUCGAGCACUGAGUAUCGCAUUUACUUCACAUCACCGACUGAGACCAUUUGUAGACCUCACCUUCCAGAGCCGACGAAUAAUACGAGAUGCAGGGAACACGAGGACUCCUCCUGGUGGUGGCGCUGCUGGUGCUACUGCAGGUGUACGUCGCUGUUGCGAGUGUUCCCUAUGGCGGUGGCGGCUACGGUCAUCGUGGCGGUUACGGACACGACGGUGACAGUGACGAAUACUAUGGUCAUGGCGGCGGUCAUGGCGGUCAUGGCGGUCAUGGCCACGGUGGUGGUGCUGGUGGACAUUGGUAGUCGUCAUCGGCAGCCACCCAGGAAGCCGACUCUUAAACCUGAACUCUGGACGAUGAAAGAAACUUGACUAAAUUCCUGAAAGAUUUUGAUUUGGGGAUUCACUUUACGUGUUGUGCGUGUGCGUGUGUGUGUGUGUGUGUGUGUGUGUGUGUGUGU